AAUAAUUUUUGUGCCAGCAUUUGCGGUUAAACAAAUUAUUUAAAAUGAUUUAUAUUUUUUUUUAUAAUUAAUGUAUUUUUAUUUGGUGAAAUAUUUAAAAUAUUAUUAUUUAAAAUAUUUUUAAACUAGGAUUAGAUACCCUAUUAUUUAAUUUUAAUAAAAUUAUUAGUAAAUUUUUAAAAUUUGAAAAUUAAAUAAUUUGGCAGUAUUUUUUAAAAUUAGAGGAUUUUGUUAUAUAAUAGAUAAUACACUAUAAAAUAAAUUUAAUUUAAUUAAAUUAUAUAUAAUUGAUUUAAGUUUAUUUUUAAAUAAAUUAAUUAAUUUUAUUUAUUUUUAUUUAUAAUAUAAGUCAAAUCAUCAUGUAUUUUAUAAUUAAAAUUUAAAUGAAAUACAUUUUUUAAAAAAAUUAUGAAUUUAAAUUUGUAAAAAUUUAAUGAAAUUGGAUUUAAAAGUAAAAUUUUAAAUUAAUAAAUAUUAUUUUUGAAUUUUAUAAAAAUAUGUACAAAUUGCCCGUCGUUUUUAAAUAAUAAUUAAAAUAAGUCGAAACAAAGUUAAUAUAUUGGAAAAUAUAUUUU
rnacentral:rRNA from 1 species